rnacentral:rRNA from 1 species
AUGGAGCUGUUGGAUGUUGAUGAUGCUGCACGUGCUAAGUAUUUCACCAUGAUGUUGGAAGGAAUGACCCGUACUUGGUUGAAAGGGCUACCAACCAACUCCAUUGGGUCAUGGGCCGAGUUAAAAGCCCUUUUUAUCCAGAAUUUUAAAGAUACGUGCAAGAAGCCUAUGUCAAUUGUGUAUUUGGACGCCUGUGUCCAAGAAGAGGGCGAGUCAACAACCCAUUGGGUGCGCCAGGUCUCGGCUAUCCUGCACUCAUCGGAUCACAUCAAUGCCGGCUCAGCGGUCUUAAUGUUAGAAAUGAAUUGUCGUUUUAUGCCCCUUAAACAG